ACCGUUGCCGCAAGACAACGCUGAACAUGCAGAAGUCAGCAGAGGUCAUAGUAGCUGUUUUUCAGCGAAGGAC
rnacentral:ncRNA from 1 species